rnacentral:lncRNA from 1 species
AUGGGUAACCCACACCAGUUCAUCAUCUUUUUUCACCGGUAAGCCUUCCAAUUCUCCAUUUUUUUCCUUCAUUAGAUGGACCUUAUGCCACGGAAGUAGCGAUAACUUGGAUUCUAUCUGUCAUAUUAACGGUGUUCGAAAAAUCGGCCUAGGCGUUAGAUUUCAUCCUAAUCGUUAAGGGUAGGCGCCAGGGAGUUAGGCGGCGCCUGGGUGGGUCGGGCGGCUGCUUCUCUACUCUUCUCGAUUUUUCUUUACUUCAAUUAGAUGGACCUUAUGCCAUGGAAGUAGCGAUAAUUUGUUUUAAAAGAAAAUUUGGAUUCUUUCUGUCAUAUUAGGAUGGUUGGAAGACAUCAAUCAAUUAAAAUGAGAGAAUGAAACCAUUGAAUUUUAAAGAUAGGUUUAACUACACUUUUUGGAAUUUGAAGCAGAUGAAACCCCAAUUAAAUUUUUUUUUUUUUUUUUAACUCUUGAGUAUUAAAGAAACUAAAUCUCCCAGUGUUAGAAAUCAAAGGAAAAGAUUGUGUUCCUUUAUCAAAAGAUCUUGUUGGGAAAGGGGAGAAAUCAACGUUUUUGGUAUUUAGUGAAUGUAUAACUGCCAAAAUGAAUAAUAAAAAAUUUGUCUGGUUCUAAGUUUGUAAUGCUUUAUUUGAAUAUCAGAAUUGUAAAGUAUUUGUGGACUUGUGGGAAGUUACUAAUUGAUUUUUUAAUCAGUCAGAAUUUGUGUGGGGACGGGGAGCUAUUGAUUGAAGCGCCUCACACAAAUCAGGUAUGAUCAUAGAGUAGAGAUGUUAUAGAAGUAAUAUUCAUGGCUAGUGGGUGAAGCUCAAAAUUUGGUAUGUAAUCAUAUGGAUGGCAUUUAACUUUAAUGAAAUUCUAUCUAAGAAAGUAAAUUUUCAAGUGUUGGCGUCUUUUUUUCUUGCUAAAGUCUUCCAUAUCUUACCUAUGAUGCCUUGGAUCCAAAUGUGUGGUGUUCUCUCCUCCUCCUUCCCUCUUCUCUAUGUUUUUCAUUAUGAUUGGAAUUAGGCAAUGAAUAGUAUUUCACACUAUGGACCUCUUUAGAACAACUGGUCUGUGUCAUCCAAAUAGUUGUUUUGAUUUGAUUGUACUUGGUGUUUAGGAUUGAGGAUGUUCACGGGAUUUUAGAUGGACAUCUCAUUCAUCCUCCUUGUAGCUCUUCUUUAAUUAAUAAAAUUUGUGUUUUUAAGAAGAAAAAAAAAGGGAUUGCUUAGUUUGAGAUUGUAUGUCUUACCCUUUUCUUUUGGCCUUUACAUCAUUUGCGUUGUAACACUAAGGAAAAUAGGACUGCACCUUGUAAUAGCCAAAUUUUAUUCAAAUAGGAUUGCGACUUCUUAACGUGCAUUCCCCCACCCCACUAGUUUAUUGUUUUCUUUUGUCCCCAAAAAGAAAAUUCUGACAUGCCAUAUUUUGAUAAUUGGUGAAUCAGAGGCAGUUAGCCUUUUGGCCUCUAAUUUAUUUAGUUGUCAUUAUUCUGCUCCUCUUUCCUUAUAAGCUUUAGUUCUUAUUUCUAGGAUAAUGGUUUGGUUUCAAAAUUAUAAUUUCCUGUGCAUUUUACAGACUAUGCUCUAUGAAGGCUUGAAAGAUUUGAGUAUGGGAAGCAAAUUACAAAUUACAAAAUCCAAAUUUUCAUAUUGAUAUUUCUAUUGAGGGAGUCAUGCUUAGAGGAGUGGCUGGUGGUAUGUACCUUGUUUGUACUUUGACCUUCUUUGUUCUAUUGAUAGUUCUAUUAUUGAAUUCAUUAUUUUCUUUUGGGUGAUUAAUACUUGCAUUUUGUUGUCAGGUAUUAGUGCAUAUCUUGUUGUUGGGUAUUUUCUUUCAUUUGGCAGAUAGUGGUCAGCACUCAUAUGAAUUUUGAUCAGAUUGUUGUUUUGUGAUUGUGGAGUAGCUUUUGCUGGUCUAACAGUGUAUAGAAUACUGAUUGUUUGUAUGUCUCACCCUUUUAUUUUUGCCUUUACAUCAUUUGCUUCGUACCACUGGGAAAAUGGGAUUGCAACUCCUAAUAACCAAAAUUUACUCAAUUAGGAUUGCAACUUCUUAACUUGCAUGCACCACACUAUUUUCUUGUUUUACUUUGUCCCAGCAAGGAAAAUUCAGACAUACCAUCUUUUGAUCUUUAGUGUACUUACUGUUACCUGAACAAGGCUUGACAAGUCAGGUGUUCUGCAUUUGAACACUGAUCACAUAGGUGCACAGGCACAAGCACCAUUUAUCUUUUGUAUCAUUCAGGGGUUUCUACAAUCCUAUUGCUGUUUUAUCAAUGCACCCUUGACUACCAUUUUGGUUAAAUGUCAUCGAAUAACAACUCUCGGGGACAAAAUUGAGGGGCUAUUCUCAGAAAAUUAACUUAAGUAAAUUUUGCACUGAUUGUUAUUUCAAACUGACCUUUCAACAUUUUCGGCAAAAAGGGGAAGGGAAAUUCUAUAUAGCAAUUUUCCUUUCAAUCAGGUAUAUUUGAUAUGGGCCUAACAUUCAUGAUUAAACUCUGUAUACAGUAUAUGGUUGUAUUACUCAUUGGCUGACAGUCAGAUGUGAUAGCAAAAGGAUUUUCUCAUUUCAAUCUAAUGUUUGUAGUGAACUUUAGGUACAAUGAAUGGUUGGAUGCAAUUAGUUGCGUAUGGAUGGCUGAAGAUGCACAAGGGAUGUUCGGUAGCAGUCCAGCUUCAGAUCCUACUUUUAUGGUUGUGGAAUUUGUUAGAGACCAUUUCAAAGAAGGAUUAAGAACACGCAUAAAGUUGCUAGCAUGUUAG